rnacentral:rRNA from 1 species
UACGAAGGGGGCUAGCGUUGCUCGGAAUGACUGGGCGUAAAGGGCGCGUAGGCGGCCUACUAAGUCAGACGUGAAAUCCCCCGGCUUAACCUGGGAACUGCGUCUGAUACUGGAAGGCUUGAGGAUGGGAGAGGGAUGUAGAAUUCCAGGUGUAGCGGUGAAAUGCGUAGAUAUCUGGAGGAAUACCGGUGGCGAAGGCGGCAUCCUGGACCAUUACUGACGCUGAGGCGCGAAAGCUAGGGGAGCAAACGGG